GCCUGGGUGGCUCAGUCGGUUAAGCAUCUGACUUCUGCUCAGGUCAUGAUCUCGAGGUUCGUGAGUUCGAGCCCCGCGUCGGGCC
rnacentral:tRNA from 1 species